UACGUAGGGGCAAGCGUUGUCCGGAUUUAUUGGGCGUAAAGAGCGUGUAGGCGGCUUGGUAGGUCCGCUGUGAAACUCGAGGCUCAACCUCGAGAUGUCGGCGGAAACCACUUGGCUAGAGUCCGGAAGAGGAGAGUGGAAUUCCCGGUGUAGCGGUGAAAUGCGCAGAUAUCGGGAAGAACACCUAUGGCGAAGGCAGCUCUCUGGGACGGUACUGACGCUGAGACGCGAAAGCGUGGGGAGCGAACAGG
rnacentral:rRNA from 1 species